CCUACGGGUGGCUGCAGUGAGGAAUAGUGGUCAAUGGGCGCGAGCCUGAACCAGCCAAGUCGCGUGAGGGAAGAAGGUCCUAUGGAUUGUAAACCUCUGUUGUGGGGGAGCAAAAGACGACACGCGUGGCGUUCCGAGAGGACCCGAAGAAAAAGCAUCGGCUAACUCCGUGCAAGCAGCCGCGGUAAUACGGAGGAUGCGAUCGUUAUCCGGAUUUAUUGGGGUUAAAGGGUGCGCAGGCGGAAGAUCAAGUCCGCGGUAAAAUUGCGAGGCUCAACCUCUUCGUGCCGUUGAAACUGGUUUUCUUGAGUGAGUGAGACGUAUGCGGAAUGCGUGGUGUAGCGGU
rnacentral:rRNA from 1 species